CCCCACCCCAGCCAGGCCUUCUCCUUGGUGGGGGCAUCUAACUUGUGGGCACCGAUUGGAAACCGGUCGUGAGCUUUUGCUACACUCAAUGCAGGUUCGCUUUAGAUGUCGGUACAGGCUUCGUGUGGGCUUGGGGUGCACUUACAGAGAGCAUUCUUAAGUGACCUCUGCCGCAGAGAUCCACUUGGUCUGCCAGAAGCUUUUCUAGGGAUCCUCACAAAGGAAGAGGGAAAAGGGUAUCUUGUGUGACAGGAAGCUAAGGGCGGAUUCCGUGGAGACCCUCGGGUUGGCCCUCUGGCCUUUGCUCCUCCUAGAUGCGACUGGCCCAUAUCAGGGUCCUUUCGAGGCAAGGAAAUCAGCCACAUCACUCUGGAUGAGGAGCUUCGUCAAAGGUCCCAGGAUCCCUUGGGCAGAAGCUCCAGGAUAGGAAGUUGGUCGCCAGCCAUCAAGGCUCCAGAGCUAGGUGUCAAACAACCCUACUGGGGAGAUGGAGAAGCCAGCGUCACGGCCUUGGAAGAGCUCAGUAAGAGUUCAAAGGGGCAGACACACAAACAACAGCAGAACAUCCCUCUGCCCCAAGCUAGUCAAUGUGAAGAUGCCAGAGACUGACAUUAGUUUUUAAGCCCCAAUUUUGGUUUAGAAAAGACAGCAUCUUCAAGAAGACCCUAUAUUUUUAUGAAGACCGUGUUAAUAAUUAAGUUCU